AUCCCUCGCGUUGUCUUUUUUUUUCUUCCCGUUCCUUUUCACUCGAGCGAUUGUGGCACCGACUCCUCUCCCCAACGCCCAACAACAGGGAGCCGCCACCGCUGGUGGCACAGGGGGAGCGCGGGGCUGGCCACCACGUGAAGGUGCAGGACUGCGCGAUGGAGGCCAAGCAUUGUGGCCAGCCGAAGCGGCGGCGGCCAGGCGGGUAGCCGACAUGGCAAGCUGUUGUCCGCGAUCGCCCGGUGGCUCGCGGCUCGGCCAGCUUGAUGGCGGCAUGGCCAGCCACAGCGCCCGCCUCACCCUUCUAGAAGAUUUUGAAAGCGAACCCAAGCAGAUCCUAAUUUCUUUCUGUCGAGCAGAUCCGGUGAUGGAUUGUGAGGGGCCAAUGGUGGGUGCUUAUUCGGUUUGUUUAUGUAUGGACAUCUAAUGUGUUGUUUGCACUGCAAUUUAAUGGAAUAUGAGAGAAGGGUCCAAGGUUUCCUGUUCAUGUCAGUUGUUCGAUUGAUACUCUCUAGGUCUGGGAUUGCUGGAAACAAGCUUCCUACUGUCUCGGAUCAAAGUGGUGAAUAAGGACAUGUUUUCUGCAAAUUUGAACCACGUUGGGAUGCUGUCACGCUUGUCAUCGACGAUCCAGGUUGCGUGCAGAGGCAAAUUAUUUGAAGGAGCAAUGACAUUCAUGUGGUCAUGUUUCUAAAAUUCAAGUCUGCGCUCGAUGGGACAUUCAUUUGAAGAAAGCGUAAAUAUACUUUUAUAGCUUUUAUCACUAAAUCAAUUGUAAAUUUACUUCUAUAGCUUUUAUCACUAAAUCAAUUGUAAGCUCAUGUCAAGUAGUUUUGUUUUGUAAUAAAUCUAGAUAUAAAACCAGGAAAAGCUAUCAUACAUCCUGUCAUCCAGCUGCCCUACUCCAAGUACAGAUACUUAGAAAGUACUAUGGUAGUGUUGAUCAAGUUACAUGUGAAGGAAGGCUAGGGCUUCAAAACUUAAAUUGGUGCAACAACGUUCUAUAUCAUCAUGGCGUUCCAGAGGAUGUAAAGUGAAAAGAUAGGAACACAAUUCUGGAGCCCAUCGUGCAUUUUGACAAAGCAUCAAAACAAUUUCUACUGGAAAUUAUGAAAUCAUCCCCUUCUGUCCAUAUUUUGCUGACAAUCCCGAAGGUUGUAAUGUAUGAUGUCAGGGACGAUUGUGCUAAAUGUAUUUCCAAUAUUUUUUUUAUUUUAUUCCAUAUUGUCAUGCUUUACUGUUGCUACGUUUUACCCUGGUUGAAAAACACGGGUAUAAAUCUCCUACAACUAAAAAGACACAUCUUUUGGUGAAAAAAAAGUUUGGUUCUUCCAUCUGCCUCUUCUGCCUGCGACUGACGCUCCUGGUCGCAAGUUUAGGAAAGUCUCCACCUGCGGCGUCUCUUUCCUUCCUUGCGCCACAAAUCACUCCGCGCACUCGAGCCCUCUCUGUUCUGGAUCCGGACGCGGACGUCCUCUUCCUCCCCGCGACUCGAUUCACGUUCUCCGCGCCCUAGAGCCAUGUCUUCUGGAUCCGGACGCGGCCGUCCUCCGCGCACUUGCCGCCAACUCCAUUCGCUUGCUGCAGUCUAGCUCGCUGCCCUCCAUUAGACGCAACCAAGCUCGCGGCCAUCAGUAAACGCCACCUCCAUCCAGCCCUGCGUUCUCCGGUGCCGCCGAACCACCGUCCAACGGCUUGGUGCCCGCCGUCGAAAUCACACCUCCGUUCUUCGGUGACCCAGCCGCCGCCGUCCUCUAGAAGGCACCGAGAAGAGCACGCGGGCUUCUCUGCCUAUGCCACAGAUAGCGCUGCGACGUGCCCGCCGCCCAACCGCACCCCAGCUCGCCGCCCGCCUUCCUCUGGAAACCACCGCGAAGAGCACGCGGGCGUUCUCUGCCUACGCCGCGGAGGGUGCUGCGACGUGCCCGCCGCCCAACCGCAACCCAGCUCGCCGCACGCCGUCCUCUGGAAACCACCGUGAAGAGCACGCGGGCGUUCUGUGCCUACGCCGAGGAGAGCGCUGUGACGUGCUCGCCACCCAAGGUAACAAGCUCCCUGUUUACGAAGUAUGCAAUCCCUUCUCCUAUCUCCUUUCUCCCAUGUCAGGUUGUAGGCCAUCUAGAAUAUUUCACUUCUGCUUCAUUUGUCCACCAAGACUUCAAUUAUUUAUUUUGCUGCUUAGGUUCAGUCUUUUUGUGGUCAUGCAAUAAGCACAGAACUCUUAUAAUUGUAAGAUUGGUAAAGGUUGCCAAGCUCCUUUGUAAGUGUUCCAGAGAGUGGAUUGAUAGCCAGAGAUCUUGCUAUAUGGUUAGGACAAACUGGUAGUAAAUGAGGCACAAUCAAAGUUUGAAAUA